AUGGGGAUAAUACAGAUUAUGAGUAUCUCGGUGCUUUGGCGAAUUUGGUGUCACGGGGAAUUUAAAGGGAGCGUACAUUUUGGUAAGGAAUGCAAAUCUGAACAAAUAGUUUGUGGUUCAAGAAUUGGAGUUCAGCUACCUGUACGGGUCACCUUGAACUGUUGCUCUCCAUUUGGUGCUACAAUGCUUGGUGGCAACACUCAUGGCUUGCUUAUGGUACAGAUCAUCGCAACAUUCCUAAGCACUCGAUCAGGGAAAAAUUUGAGAACACAAGUUUUGACACUUCCUCCAAUGCAUAUGAGGAUGGUACAUGCCGUGGAAAUAUUCAAGGAGCUCUUUGAGAAGUUGUGGCCUGGUGGGACUCAAGAAGAAAAAUUCCAUCAUAGACAGUCUACACCUUUAUCCAGUGUUGUUCGUCGACACUGGAAUCCAGGUGAUGAGCAGCGGUAUUCAGUGGACAUUUCUGGAUAUUCUAGCAACCUCUUGGUCUUUCUGGUGUGUUUGGCGGUUCAACCAAUUUGUGGCUGUGAACUGAUUCUCAUGGAGGACUGA
rnacentral:rRNA from 1 species